AAUGAACGCUGGCGGCGUGCCUAACACAUGCAAGUCGAACGGGAUUAGGGGCUUGCUCCUAAUCUAGUGGCGCACGGGUGAGUAACGCGUAGAUAAUCUGCCUGAUGAUCUGGGAUAACAGUUCGAAAGGACUGCUAAUACCGGAUAAGCCCACGGGUUCUUUGGAAUCUGCGGGAAAAGGGGGGGACCUUUUGGCCUUCUGUCAUCAGAUGAGUCUGCGUACCAUUAGCUAGUUGGUAGGGUAAAGGCCUACCAAGGCGACGAUGGUUAUCUCGUCGUCGAGGAUGAUCAGCCACACUGGAACUGAGGCACGGUCCAGACUCCUACGGGAGGCAGCAGUGGGGAAUUUUGCGCAAUGGGCGAAAGCCGGACGCAGCAACGCCGCGUGAGUGAUGAAGGCUUUCGGGUCGUAAAGCUCUGUCAGGGGGAAAGAAAUGUAUUGUGGCUAAUAUCCACGAUACUUGACGGUACCCCCAAAGGAAGCACCGACUAACUCCGUGCCAGCAGCCGCGGUAAAAC
rnacentral:rRNA from 1 species